rnacentral:rRNA from 1 species
AUUGAACGCUGGCGGCAUGCCUUACACAUGCAAGUCGAACGGUAACAGGUUAAGCUGACGAGUGGCGAACGGGUGAGUAAUGUAUCGGAACGUGCCCAGUCGUGGGGGAUAACUGCUCGAAAGAGCAGCUAAUACCGCAUACGACCUGAGGGUGAACGCGGGGGAUCGCAAGACCUCGCGCGAUUGGAGCGGCCGAUAUCAGAUUAGGUAGUUGGUGAGGUAAGGGCACACCAAGCCGACGAUCUGUAGCUGGUCUGAGAGGACGACCAGCCACACUGGGACUGAGACACGGCCCAGAGACAUACGGGAGGCAGCAGUGGGGAAUAUUAGACAAGGGGCGCAAGCCUGAUCCAGCCAUGCCGCGUGCGGGAAGAAGGCCUUCGGGUUGUAAACCGCUUUUGUCAGAGAAGAAAAGGUUCUGGCUAAUACCUGGGACUCAUGACGGUACCUGAAGAAUAAGCACCGGCUAACUACGUGCCAGCCGCCGCGGUAA